rnacentral:tRNA from 1 species
UGGCCCGUAGCUCAGCUGGAUAGAGCGCUGCCCUCCGGAGGCAGAGGUCAGAGGUUCGAAUCCUCUCGGGCGGGCCA